rnacentral:tRNA from 1 species
GUCACUUUGCCGGAGUGGUUAACGGGAUCGCCUGCUACUCAAGUAGCUGCUAGCGGUUGGUCUUUGACCGCGAGUGUUCGAAUCGCUCAGGUGACG